rnacentral:misc_RNA from 1 species
GAAUAAUCCCAAUACUAACGA